rnacentral:tRNA from 1 species
UGCGGCGUGGUGUACCGGAGAACAUCCCGCGCUCAUGACGCGGAGAACGGGGUUCAACUCCCCGCGCCGCAA